ensembl:snRNA U12 U12 minor spliceosomal RNA
AUGCCUUAAACUUCUGAGUAAGAAAAAAUAACGAUUUGGGUGAUGCCUGAAUCCUCACUGCUAAUGUGAGAUGAGAUGAAUUUCUGAGUGGGUAAAGGUUGCCCCUAAGGUGACCUGCCUGUUUUGUGGGAUCCUUGGGAGUCAGGAUCUGCCUG